rnacentral:rRNA from 1 species
UGAUCCUGGCUCAGGAUGAACGCUAGCUACAGGCUUAACACAUGCAAGUCGAGGGGCAGCAUGAACUUAGCUUGCUAAGUUUGAUGGCGACCGGCGCACGGGUGAGUAACACGUAUCCAACCUUCCGUUUACUCAGGGAUAGCCUUUCGAAAGAAAGAUUAAUACCUGAUAGUAUGGUGAGAUUGCAUGAUAGCACCAUUAAAGAUUUAUUGGUAAACGAUGGGGAUGCGUUCCAUUAGGUAGUAGGCGGGGUAACGGCCCACCUAGCCGACGAUGGAUAGGGGUUCUGAGAGGAAGGUCCCCCACAUUGGAACUGAGACACGGUCCAAACUCCUACGGGAGGCAGCAGUGAGGAAUAUUGGUCAAUGGGCGAGAGCCUGAACCAGCCAAGUAGCGUGAAGGAUGAAGGUCCUACGGAUUGUAAACUUCUUUUAUACGGGAAUAAAGUAUCCUACGUGUAGGAUUUUGUAUGUACCGUAUGAAUAAGCAUCGGCUAACUCCGUGCCAGCAGCCGCGGUAAUACGGAGGAUGCGAGCGUUAUCCGGAUUUAUUGGGUUUAAAGGGAGCGCAGACGGGAGAUUAAGUCAGUUGUGAAAGUUUGCGGCUCAACCGUAAAAUUGCAGUUGAUACUGGUUUCCUUGAGUGCAGUUGAGGCAGGCGGAAUUCGUGGUGUAGCGGUGAAAUGCUUAGAUAUCACGAAGAACCCCGAUUGCGAAGGCAGCUUGCUAAACUGUAACUGACGUUCAUGCUCGAAAGUGUGGGUAUCAAACAGGAUUAGAUACCCUGGUAGUCCACACGGUAAACGAUGGAUACUCGCUGUUGGCGAUAUACUGUCAGCGGCCAAGCGAAAGCAUUAAGUAUCCCACCUGGGGAGUACGCCGGCAACGGUGAAACUCAAAGGAA